GACAAGGUCAAACCCAUUCCACCCGCCUCCCCCACAGCGAAUACCCUGGAGAGAAAUGCAUUCUUGACUUUCCUCAGAACUCAUGCCUGGCGUUCACCUGGAACCAAGGCCAUUGCUCGGCAGUGGCCCUUCCCUCUAGAAGCCCUCCUUCCCCGUCCCCUCCAGCAAGCCUUCCCCUCACCGCCUUCCCUGCCUCCACCGCCUCUGGAACCCGCAGACCGGACUCCAACAGCUCGCCUGUGGCUUUGCGGUCACUCUUUUCAUUUAUUGCACAAAUCGCAGAGUCUCUCUGGCUCUGGGAGGGCUGGAUCGUGGUUAUCGGUUCAUCCUUCCUAUCUUUACAGAACCCAGCUUUCCUGACAUAGCAACAAUCCCAUCCCUGUCCUGGUUCCAGAGAAUUCCAAAGAUCUGCUUUGCUCUUCCCGACAACUCAUCUAGGCAACCUUUGUGGCUGCUAUUAACAGGGGGUGGGAACUGCAGGGGAGAUGGGCCAAGGAUGACGCUGGACCCACAUCUAACAGACAGGAGGCCCUGCUGGCAGGGAGAGAGGAGAUAAGCAGCCGAUGGUGAUGUUGGAUUGAUAACGUGAUACCCGCAGGUGGGAUUUUCAAAGUGUUUUUAUGUCACAGACUCAUUUGACCCAGGGAGGGAACAAGAAGCAGAUGAAUCCACUUUGCUGCUGAGAACACUGAGGCUCCGUGACCUUCCAGAGCCACACAGCUAGCAGGAGGCCCUGCCUAGCCUGUGGAGGAAGAUCCGCUCACUGCAGGAAAAAACUGACAGGCGAGGCUCCCGGGGUUCCAGGAGAGAGGGGCAGGUGAGCCCAGGGGCAGGAGCCCACCCCCCAGCCCCGCCACACCGAGCCCUUCAAGACAUCUGGUCCCAGCAUCCCCUGCCUGCUGUCCCUGCCUUGGCAGCUGCCCACGGGGCUGGGGCCGGCUCCAUAAAAUCAAUAGUUGGUUGGCUUGAGCUGGCUGAGUCUGCCCCCCGGAGCUCAGGUGUGACGGCAAUGAAUCUCGCUAAUGGCAGGAGGUGACCGUUCCUUCUCUUUGUGGCCUGGAGACAGGUAUUUCCAAAGCUCCUGCCCUGGCUCAGGCAAACACACAUGACCUCUCUUUUCUUUCCUGGGCCCUGGGUAAAGCAGAGUAGCCAGGGACAAAGUGGGGUGAACCAGACAGAGCUGGAGAUCUCCCUCCCACCUCGUCCUGCC
rnacentral:lncRNA from 1 species